AGCAGCCGCGGUAAUUCCAGCUCCAAUAGCGUAUAUUAAAGUUGUUGCAGUUAAAAAGCUCGUAGUUGAAUUUCGGGGUUAGCAGGUCGGUCGUGCCAUCGGUAUGAACUGGUCUCGCUGAUCCCUCCCUCUUGACGAACUGUGAUGCCAUUAAUUUGGUGUCGCAGGGAAUCAGGACUGCUACUUUGAAAAAUUAAAGUGUUUAAAGCAGGCUCACGCUUGAAUACAUUAGCAUGGAAUAAUGAAAUAGGACGUUUGAUCCUAUUUUGUUGGCUUCUAGGGAUUGACGUAAUGAUUAAUAGGGAUAGUUGGGGGCAUUAGUAUUCAAUUGUCAGAGGUGAAAUUCUUGGAUUUAUUGAAGACUAACUACUGCGAAAGCAUUUGCCAAGGAUGUUUUCAUUAAUCAAGAACGAAAGUUAGGGGAUCGAAGACGAUCAGAUACCGUCGUAGUCUUAACCAUAAACUAUGCCGACUAGGGAUCGGAUGAUGUUAAUUUUUUAAUGACUCAUUCGGCGCCUUA
rnacentral:rRNA from 1 species